UGGGGAAUAUUGGACAAUGGGCGCAAGCCUGAUGCAGCCAUGCCGCGUGUGUGAAGAAGGCCUUCGGGUUGUAAAGCACUUUCAGCGAGGAGGAAGGGUAGUGUGUUAAUAGCACAUUGCAUUGACGUUACUCGCAGAAGAAGCACCGGCUAACUCCGUGCCAGCAGCCGCGGUAAUACGGAGGGGGCAAGCGUUAAUCGGAAUUACUGGGCGUAAAGCGCACGCAGGCGGUUUGUUAAGUCAGAUGUGAAAUCCCCGCGCUUAACGUGGGAACUGCAUUUGAAACUGGCAAGCUAGAGUCUUGUAGAGGGGGGUAGAAUUCCAGGUGUAGCGGUGAAAUGCGUAGAGAUCUGGAGGAAUACCGGUGGCGAAGGCGGCCCCCUGGACAAAGACUGACGCUCAGGUGCGAAAGCGUGGGGAGCAAACA
rnacentral:rRNA from 1 species